GGAUGCGAUCAUACCAGCACUAAAGCACCGGAUCCCAUCAGAACUCCGUAGUUAAGUGUGCUUGGGCGAGAGUAGUACUAGUAUGGGUGACCUCCUGGGAAGUCCUCGUGUUGCAUUCC
rnacentral:rRNA from 2 species